CGUACACUCCUACGGGAGGCAGCAGUGGGGAAUAUUGCACAAUGGGCGCAAGCCUGAUGCAGCCAUGCCGCGUGUAUGAAGAAGGCCUUCGGGUUGUAAAGUACUUUCAGCGGGGAGGAAGGCGAUAAGGUUAAUAACCUUGUCGAUUGACGUUACCCGCAGAAGAAGCACCGGCUAACUCCGUGCCAGCAGCCGCGGUAAUACGGAGGGUGCAAGCGUUAAUCGGAAUUACUGGGCGUAAAGCGCACGCAGGCGGUCUGUCAAGUCGGAUGUGAAAUCCCCGGGCUCAACCUGGGAACUGCAUUGGAAACUGGCAGGCUAGAGUCUUGUAGAGAGGGGUAGAAUUCCAGGUGUAGCGGUGAAAUGCGUAGAGAUCUGGAGGAAUACCGGUGGCGAAGGCGGCCCCCUGGACAAAGACUGACGCUCAGGUGCGAAAGCGUGGGGAGCAAACAGGAUUAGAUACCCCUGUAGUCCCA
rnacentral:rRNA from 1 species